rnacentral:rRNA from 1 species
AUGUGCAUACCAAAAGUUAGGGGAGGUAUGGGAUUUAGGGAUCUCCAUGCGUUUAACUUGGCGAUGUUGGCAAAACAAAGCUGGAGGCUGUUAACACAUCCUGAAACAUUAUGUGCCAAAGUUCUGCGGUCUAAAUAUUUUCCUGAUGGGAAUCUUCUUAAAGCAGGACCCAAAAAGGGGUCAUCUUAUACAUGGCAAAGCAUCUUGGCGGGGCUACAGACUUUCCGAAGAGGUCACAUUUGGCGAAUUGGUUCCGGUGAGAGAAUUAAUAUAUGGGAUUAUCAUUGGAUCCCUUCUAGCCACACUAGGAUGGUCAUAACAAGGAGGGGUAAUUCCUUGCUCCGGACAGUCGACGAACUAAUGGUUCCAGGAAUUGCUAGUUGGGAUGAGGCACUUAUGAGAAGCAUCUUCCUACCUCUGGAUGCCGAGAGAAUCUUAAGAAUCCCACUGUCAGAAAAUAUUGUGGAGGACUUCGUCGCAUGGAAUAACACCAAAUCUUUCUCUUUCACUGUCGAUCGGCGUAUUAUGUUGAAUGGGAACACCAAUUUGGAUCAAGAUGUUCAAGCAUCUAGGGCACAUCAAAUAUUAAUCCGGUUUGGGAAACGGUUUGGAAACUGGAGAUACCAAGUAAAGUGA